AGAUGGAGCCUUGCUCUGUCACCAGGGCUGGAGUGCAGCAGCGCGAUCUCAGCUCACUGCAACCUCCGCUUCCCAGAUCCAAGCCAUUCUCCUCCCUCACCCCCUCAAGUAGCUGGGAUUACAGGCAUGUGCCACCACGCACGGCUAAUUUUGUAUUUUUAGUAGAGACAGGGUUUUACCAUGUUGGCCAGGCAGGUCUCAAACUCCUGACUUCAAGGGAUCCACCUGCCUCAGCCUCCCAAGGUGCUGGGAUUACAGACGUGAGCCACUGCGCCCUGCCCAAGCGUGUAUUCUUUGACCAGCUUUGCGCUGGGGCCCAGCGACUGAAGGGUGAACCCAAACAACAGGCAGCCCUCCCCGAGCUCAGUCCAGUGGGAACACAGACCUCGACUGCAGAGCAACAGAAAGAUAAGCCGGGCUGGAGGCUCCCGGCCCCCAUCUUCCCACAGUGACCCCAUUUUGGGAACAGGAACCCCCAUCCCUCGUCUUGUUUCGGGAUUAGGCUUCUCCAAAUCUGGCACCCUAUCACCUUGACUCCUCUCUUGCCCCCCCGCCACAUCCAAAGUGUCUGGAAAGCCUGUCACUCUACAUGACAAUGUAACCUGGUGCUGCGGGCUCCUCUUCCUCGUCACCCUUCUUCCUUGUCACCCCUCUUCCUCGUCACCCCCCUUCCUCAUCAUCCCCCUUCCUCGUUACCCCCCUUCCUUGUUACCCUUCUUCCUCGUGGCCCCCUAGUUCAAGCCACCCUCAUCUCCCUCCUGGACCAUUGAGGCGUGCUCCCUGCUCCCUUCUCCCCCACUGUCCCCACAGUUGUCCGCACACAGCCAGAGGUAGCCGUGCACACCUGGUCAGGGCAGGAACCCUCCCCUGGCUCCACCUCUCCCAGCAGAGAAGCUUGCAAGGUCCCAGGCAACCUGGCCACUUUCCUGCCUGCCCUGCUUCCCUCUUCUCCUGCCACCAUUCCUGGAACAUUCCAGGCAGGUCCUACCCCGGGGCCUUUGUUCUUGCUGCCCCCUGGGCAGGCAGCACCCUCCUUCCUUCUGUUCAGUCAGCCUCUGCUGACAGUGGCCCCCUUGGGGAGAUGUUUCUUCCCGACCAUGGGUCCCCAGGAGCAGCCCCUGUCACCCUCCCUCUAGCACCUUCCCCCGGUAACCCUCAUGAUGGUUACUUCCAUUAUGACAUGUGGGUCUGUUGGUUUAUUUUGUCUCCCGGCAUAACGUAGCCUCAGGGCAUGGGGGUAGGGGUAGAACCACAGGGCCUUGCCCUGCCCCUUGCUAUGUUCUCAGGGAUUGGAGUGUGGUAGUCUCUCAGUAAAUGCUGGUUGACUGACUGACUGACUGACUGACUGAACUGUAGUAAGCUGGGCUGCCAGAGCGUCUAAUGGGGACCCGCCCUGGGUGGGGCACACCGGGAAGGUUUUCCUGAGGAGGAAAUGCCACUUGAAGGAUGAACUUGGCCUCGACUAAGGGAGGAGGCUGAGGCAGCUGCCAUUGCAGAGGUCUCCCGGCGGGGGAGUGCAGGGGGCCUUUGAGGAAUUGAAGGAAGACAGGUAGGUCGGUUCUUGGGUUGGUCUGGAUUCCAGUCUUGACAGCUGCUUGGGCCUCUCUCUGCCUCAGUGUCUUCCUCUCUAGAAGGUGGCUGCUUCAGGUGUUCCUGGACAUUCCUGAAGUUCUGCUCCUAACACACUUAUCCUGGUGCCUGAUACAUAAAUAUAAAUGUGAUUGUUUAUUUUUUUCCAACAAAUUUGGUGGAGUGCUGACCCGUGUGGCCUCCAGGGAUGCGGUGGUGGAUAAACAGACCCGGUUGCCGCCCAUUUGGAGCCUGGCCUCUGGAGCCAUCUGGGGCACCCCUGCUUGGAGGCAGGAGAAGGCCUGGUGUGACCUUGGGCCCGGGGAGUCCUUAUUCUAGAUCCGGGAAGCUCUUCAGGGUGAUGAAUAGGAAAGACGAAUGGAGGGUUUGUGCGUGCCGGCCCUGUGUCCCGGCCAGUGCUCCCAAGCUGCUGCCUGGGCCUCCCUGAAAUCCCAGGAGGUAGCUGCACCCGUGUGACCCAUUUCACAGAUUGGGAGGUGAGGGGGGCACCAAUGCUAAGUCCUUCGCCCAUUUUGCAAACUAGAGUAGAUCUGGUGGUGUUUCCUCUGUGGUCUGAUGUGUUUUUCUGGUAGCCAGUCAGGUGGGGCAGCUUUCAAUUUGUUCUUCCAGACUCCUGUGAAGGAAGGGCCAGUUCAGGUCACUUUCCUUUUUUUUUUUUUUUGAGACAGAGUCUCACUCUGUCACCCAGGCUGGAGUGCAGUGGCACGAUCUUGGCUCACUACAACCUCCGCCUGCCGGGUUCAAGCGAUUCUCCUGCCUCAGCCUCCGGAGUAGCUGGGACUACAGUCGUGCGCCACCAUGCCUGGCUAAUUUUUUGUGUUUUUAAUAGAGAUGAGGCUUUGCCGUGUUAGCCAGGAUGGUCUCGAUCUCCUGACCUUGUGAUCCGCCCACCUUGGCCUCCCAAAGUGCUGGGAUUACAGGCGGGAGCCACUGUGCCUAGUGUCUUAGCCAUUCCUGAGGUUUUUUUUUUUUUUUUGAGACAGGGUCUUGCUCUGUCACCCAAGCUGGAGUGCAGUGGUUCAAGAUUGGCUCACUGCAGCCUCCACCUCCUGGGUUCAAGCAAUUCUCUUUCCUCAGCCUCAGUAGCUGGGACUGCAGGUACACGCCACCACCCUGGGCUAAUGGGCUAAUUUUUUUUAUUUUUAGUAGAGGUGGGGUUUCACUAUGUUGGCCAUCCUGUUCUCAAACUUUUUUUUGUUGUUGUAUUUUUAUAGAGAUGGGAUUUCACCAUGUUGCCCAGGCUAGUCUCAAACUCCUGAGCUCAAGCCAGCUGCCCGCCUCAGCCUUCCAAAGUGCUGGGAUUACAGGCAUGAGCCACUGUAAUGGGCAUCCAGCCCAUUCUUGACUUUUUGUAAUUCCCUUUAAAUAUUAGACAAGCAUGUUGUCAGUGUAUGUACGUGUGCUCGUGCGCACACACCUGACACUGAGUCUCCCAAUCCAUGAACGUGGUAUGUCUCUCCAUUUGUUUAUGUCUUCUCGUUCAUACUUUUCCAGCCGACGCCUUGCCCACCUCUUGUGGGGUUUUUCCCAGGGUAGUUCAUGAUGUGGCAGGGAGUCUGUGCCCUCCACUCCCACAAGAUGCCGUGCACCCUGGGUUUAGCCUUGCUGGCUGAGGACCUCAUGGCGGUGGCAGGAGGCCACUUCUCCCAUUCUCUGCUUCUUCCCUGGUACCGCCCCUGGACCCUGGCGGAGGGCGGGCAGGGUGCCCAGAAAGGAGGCUGUAAUUUUCCUGAAUGAUUUCAAGGGCUAAUUAAAGGUUUGCCUUGACUAAUCAGCUUACGGUUUAAUUAUUAGGGAACAGGCUCUGGGAUGCGGGAAGCAGCUCAGCUGGGGUCUCCCCACAGCGUGGCAGGAAGGAGCCAGGACCCAGCCCUACUCUGGGGGGCUGGCAGGAUAUGGGGAUACCCCAGCACCCUCCAGUGGGUCAGUGGGGGGUUCUCCAUCCCCCACUGAGCUGUGACAGGUGGAGGGCAGCAGGUGUGAUGGAGAUUACAGCCGAUUCCUCCCCUGAUUCACAUCAUCCCCCACAGCCCAUGGCUGGCUGGGGAGGGGCUGGCCCUGUCCCUCCAGCAGCUUUGGCAGGGCCCGUCCCUCCCCACUUUCCUGCAGCACCCCAGCCUCGCUGGCCUUUGUGGAGUGCUCGGACUUCAUUUAUUCUGUGGGUCUUGGCUUAAAGGUCAGCACCUCUGGGAAGCCUCCUCGGGCCUCCCUCCUGUCAGAGCUGGUGAUCAGCCGCACGGCCCCUUGCCAGUUCUUGGGAUCAUGGUUGUUCAUCUGCUGCAACUCCUGCAGACACUGAGAAGUACACUGAGGGGGAUGCCUGAGCUGGGCCAGUGUCGGGGUACCCAGCGGGAUAAAGGGUUCGGGACCUGGGCUCCAAGGAGGGGGCUGGGAAGGGGUGUUCAGGGAGGACUGAGUGAUGGCUUGGAGGCGGCUGGACCAGGAACACCUCAUGGGAGUUUGCGAAUGGGGAGGGGACUCUGGAGAUGGCUGUGCCAGGCCUGACUUCAUUCCUUGCAUUCCUCAGCAGGCCCCAGACUCCUGAUGGUCCUAAGUGGGGGAAGGUGAGCCAGAGAGGGCCUUCUGGGUACUGCCCUCCCCCCACUCCAUCAGUCUGUCUCAGUCUCUCUUUACACCCUCCCCCAUCCAGGUCUCAGGGCUGGAUCCAUCCUCCUGCCCACUCCCCAAUCUCCUUAUCCUUUGGCUGCGCCUUAGGGUCACCCGGGGUGGGAGGCACUGCAGGGGCCCAAGCUGGACCAUUUGAAGCUGACUGUACAGCUGUGGGGUCUGGGCCUUGGGGUUUUUUAAUGCUCCCCUGGCGACUCUGACAUGCUUCUGAGCUGGAGUGAGGGCUGCUGGCCUGCAGGAAUGGCAACAAAUGUGUUUUAGCUUUUGGCAUGUUCUGGGUGCUUUUCUAGGCUUCUGACAUGGAGGGGUUAAGUCACGGCACGCUACGGGGACAUGUGACUGUGAUUCCUGUGUUCCAGAUAAGGCAACUGAGGCCCAGAGAAGGCCUCGAGCUUGGCGAUGGCAGUCUCUGUCACUGUCUUAUCUUCCCAUUUCUGGUCUGUCCAGAUGUCUGUCUGGGCCUUCUCUGUUUCACCUCUGUCUCUCUCCCUGUUUUUCUGCCUCUUAUCUCCCUUCCCCACCCCACCCUCCUGCAUUUCAGCUUCCCUCCUCCCCUGGCAGAAACUUCCCAGAUUUCUGUGUUUUGAGGCAGGAUCUGGCUGAAGCCACAGAGGGGAGAUGGGUUCUGCAGGCCCAGGACAUCCUUCUGAGGGGAAGGAUGCUGAUGUCACCACGCUGGCCUCCCUAACAGCUCCUGACACGUGGAGUCUGGGGCUGGGGGCAACACACCAUCUGACUGACAGUCCAAGGGUGGCUAGGGCUGGCUCUGCAAGUUUGCAGGGAGGACUGUCCCCACGGGUUGACUCUGACAUGCCCUGUGACACCAGCCACCUCUACGGUCCCGGGAGUCCUCUACUGCCAGUUAAUGUUUCAGCUUUUGUGGGUAGGACUGCCUGUCGGUCAGUAGUUUAAUUGCAACAAAGGUUUGUGCUAGAAAGGCGAAUAUUACAUUGCAAGAGCCUUUAUUAUUUGAUGGGACUAGGGGGGACUGAUAGCUGAUGGUCCCGUAUGUCCCCACUCACUGAGGGAUGAGGGCUCCCCUUGCCUCCUCUCCCCCUACCCCUCUCCAGCGAAGGGCUCAGGAGUCCAGCUCCACCUGCAGCCUCUCCCUGCUCCGGCACAGCAUCCUCUGACCUUGGGCGAGGCCCUGAGCCUCAGAUGUUUUUGAGUUCCCACAUCUGGAGCAGGAGGAUAAUGAUUCCUGCUGCCUCCCAGGGUUGCUGGGAGGAUGAAGUGAGUCUGCUGUGUGAUGCUCAGAACAGGGCCACUGUCAUUAUGCCAUUCUGGUUACUAGUACUCUUAUUACCAUUACACUUAUUAGAGAGGCAGGAUCCGUGCUUGGAUUUAGUAGUUAGGAUUCACAGGGUGAGUGAUCCAUAAUUCUUUGCCAUUACGAUGAGGUCACAUUUCCUUUGGUAAAAUGUUGAACACCUUUGUAUUAUGGAAAUGUUCACACAUACCCAGAAGAAUAGUCUCGCGCCCUCCUGGGGUCCCUGUCAGCAGCUCAGCAGGUAGCAGCUGUGGCCAGGCCUUGUCGCCUGUGCCUGCUCCUCACCUCCCUGCUUAUUUCAGAGCAAAUCCCAAACGUCGUACAGCCAGAAAUAUUCCACACUUUUCCAGAACAAGCCUGCCUCAGUCUCCUCAUGCUUCCCCAGUUGUCUUAUAAUCCUUUUUUUUUUUUUGAGACAGAGUCUCACUCUGUCACCCAGGCUGGAGUGCAGUGGUGCGAUCUUGGCUCACUGCAACCUCCGCCUCCUGGGUUCAAGUGAUUCUCCUGCCUCAGCCUCCCGAGUAGCUGGGACUACAGGCGUGUGCCAUGAUGCCCGGCUAAUUUUUGUAUUUUUAGUAGAGAUGGAGUCUCACCAUAUUGAUCAGGCUGGUCUUGAAGUCCUGACCUCAAGUGAUAUAACCAUCUCAGCCUCCCAAAGUGCUGGAAUUAUAGGCGUGAGCCACCGUACCCUGCCAUAAUCCUUUUUCAUUUGUUUUUUGUUGUUGUUGUUUGAGACAGAGUCUCACUCUGUCUCCCAGGCUGGAGUGCGGUGGCACGAUCUCGGCUCACUGCAACCUCCGCCUCCCAGGUUCAAGCACUUCUCCCUGCCUCAGCCUCCCGAGUAGCUGGGAUUACAGGCGCCCGCCACCACGCCUGGCUAAGUUUUGUAUUUUUUAGUAGAGACAGAGUUUCCUAGGCUGGUCUCGAACUCCUGACCUCAAGUGAUCCACCCGCCUCGGCCUCCCAAAAUGUUGGGAUUAUAGGCGUGAGCCACGGCGCCCGGCCCAUUUGUUUGAUUUGGGUCUGGACAAGGUCUACACUUUGCAUCCGGUUGAUAGGCCUCUUUUUUUUGUUUUGUUUUGUUCCCUUUGUUACCCAGGCUGAAGUGCAGUGGAGCGAUCAGAGCUCACGUGCAGCCUUGACCUCCCCUGCUCAAGCAAUCCUCCCGCCUCAGUCUCCUGAAUAGCUGGGACCACAGGUGUGCGCCGUCAUGCUCAGAUACUGGCAUCAGCUCUUUGGCGUGCAUGUUGUCGUAGUUUUUCUACAGGCGACCUAGGCCAUUUGUCCUGGAGUUUUGCAGUCUGGGGCCAGCUGAUACAUCCUUGUGGUGUCAUUGCACGUGUUCUCUGUCUCUGUGCUUCCUGUAAGUUAGGACUUAGGUCUAGAAGCUCGAUCUGAUGCAGGUUCAGUUUCUUCUGGCAAGCACGCUUUCUUAGGUGGUUGCUUGGAUGAGCAUCAGAAUUACUUACAUGUCUGUAUGACUGUCAAGUUCAGUUUUCAAGUAAAAAUUAAGUUUUUUUUAAAAAAGCGAGUGGGUUGAGAAGAACACUCUGAAAACAGAGUGGUCUCCCACCCCAGCUCUACCCUUGGCUGCCUGUGUCACCCUGGGUGGCUUUCCCAGCCUCUCUACCUGCUUCCUUCUUGACAGCCUGAUGGUGGCCAUACGUCCCUUGGGCUGUGGUGACUGGGCCUCUGGGAGCUGCCCUUCCACUUCUGCAUUUUAACAUAAACCUCCUUGACCUCAGCUGCUCCAUUCUCUGCUCCCUUCCAGCCACUCGGAUUCCAGUCCUGGGGGCCUCCUCACUGACCAUGCCCUCCACCCUCAGUGCUGUUCCCUGGUACUCUGCAUGGCUUCCUCACCUGUAUCCCGUCUUUGCUCAGACGCCACCCCUUUAGAGACCUCCCUGACUGUGCCCUCUGAAAGAGCACCUUGUCACUCUCUGUCCCUUCUCCCACUUGUUUACUUGUAUAUUGUGUUCCCACUAGAAUGUCAACUCCAGGAGAGCAGAGACUCUUGUCUUAUUCACUGCUGUGUCCCUGGUGCCUAGAACAGUGCCUGGCACCUGCUAAGUGCAUAUUAAGGAGUCGUUGCUCACUGGGUAGAAGCAUUAAAAAAAAAAAAAAAAAAAGGCUGGGUGUGGUGGCUCACGCCUGUAAUCCCAGCACUUUGGGAGGCAAAGGUGGGUGGAUCACCUGAGGUCAGGAGUUCGAGACGAGCCUGGCCAACACAGUGAAACCCC
rnacentral:lncRNA from 1 species